GCCAAAUAUGCUGGGAAAGUUUAGCGUAGUGAAGAAUGAGAAGUAAAGCCAGUGCUUGGCCAACACUGGCGAUGCGUGCACUCGGGUCCUGCUGACGAAAAAUAUGCAAGAACAAAAACAGAGCAUCCAUCUGGAGCGCCGGGUUUUCAAGAUUGGGGGGACACCAGGAUCAGACAAGAGGACAGGUCGCCCGGCUUUAACGUGCUCAAUGCCAGCCCCUGACGUCCCUGCGGAGGCCGCGAGAACAGGAUGGUGUCGUGCACCUUCCCACAGGGGCUGUGACAACUGAACAUGAUUGUUUCCUGUUCUCACAGCAAGGCUUCCAGAAAGUGAACAGUCUCUGCCCUGGGAGCCGGAUCUCAUGAAUUAGCAGAGGUGAGAGGAGAAGGCUCUGAAUUACAUUUCAAGACUUGUGAGGAUUUGUAUUCUAUCCAUAGAAUUUAUCACAACACAUCAAAGCAACUUUGAAACAGAAUAAAUAGGCAUUUGUUUCAUUUACGUACUCAAGUAUGGCUCUAUUCUCAAAGAGUGAUCUCCCACCUUUCAUGAUUUAAAAAAUAUGUAAUUCUGAAACCAAAAUUGAAACCUAUACUUAAAGUGAUGUUGUAUCUUUGCUUGUAUUAGGAUGGUUCAUUUUUCAAGGUAUCCCUGAGACAAGACUUCAGCCUUUGUGCAGAGGGCAUGCUGCUGUUCUAUAAACUUGGCUUUGCACUUUUAGUGUCCACUCCCUCAGAGAAAAAAAUCUCUGGAACCACACACAAGAUGUUGUUUCCCUUUCCUAUUGCUUUGGUUUUGUCCUCACUCUGUUUUUUCCCGCAAAAGAAGUGAUGUCCAGCAUUUUCUU